UAUCACACUUUUACAAGCAAAGUAGAUGGAGGGUAAAAUGACGGUAUCAAAGUUAAAAUCAACAAAUGGUCACUAACUAUAUUCUUGAAAAUUAACAUGUCCAGUAGCUUGUGCAUGUUCGACAGCCUCCUUUUGCCCAACCACACCGAUUUGGCAAGCUCCACAUCGCAAGGUAAAUUUCGCAGUGUCUGUGUAACUCCUCUUUCUGUGUGCAUCUUUCACAAGAUUAAGAGCAACGCUUUCCACGCUCCCAAUGGAACGGUCGCUAAGAACAGGGAAUAUGGUUUGAUCAAACUCUUCAGGGGCUUCUUCAAAUGGAGACAUAGCUAAUGCAUCAUAAUGCAGGCCGUCAUAAAUGAGCAUAACCCUUUCG
rnacentral:misc_RNA from 1 species